CGCAUCUGUGCAUGCAGCAUAUCAAUAAGCGGAGGAAAAGAAACUAACAAGGAUUCCCUUAGUAACGGCGAGUGAAGCGGGAAGAGCUCAGAUUUGAAAUCUUCAAGGUUUUACCUUGACGAAUUGUAGUUUAAAGAAGUGUUUUCUGUUGAAGUUUUGGUAAAAGUUCUUUGGAAUAGGACAUCAUAGAGGGUGAGAAUCCCGUAUUUGACCAUUAUUUUCAGCUGUGUGAUACACUUUCAAAGAGUCGGAUUGUUUGGGAAUGCAGUCCAAAAUGGGUGGUAAAUUUCAUCUAAAGCUAAAUAUUGGCGAGAGACCGAUAGCGAACAAGUACCGUGAGGGAAAGAUGAAAAGAACUUUGAAAAGAGAGUUAAACAGUACGUGAAAUUGUCAAAAGGGAAGCGUUUGACACCAGUGUUGUUUUCUCGAAAAUCAAUUAAAAAGAGUUAGAUUUUGUUGUGUAUUGACCUUAACAGCUUGCAUUUCAAUUUUCUUGCUUUUUUUAAUGCACUUUUCGUUUAACAAGUCAACAUCAGUUUCUUUUGUUGUAAAAAGGUCAUUGGAAGGUGGCUUUCUUUUCGGAGAAAGUGUUUAUAGCCUUUGACUCCUGCAAUCGGAGAGACUGAGGUCUGCAGCGUAGAUCCUUCGGGGUUAGAUACAUUUGUGCUAAGUUAUAGCUUUUUAUAGACAACUUGUUGACUAUGAUUAGUCUUGUAGCUUACUCGCUUAUGCUAUUUUACCUACGCUUAGGAUGUUGAACUCUAUCACACACAG
rnacentral:rRNA from 1 species